UACGUAGGGCGCAAGCGUUGUCCGGAAUUAUUGGGCGUAAAGAGCUCGUAGGCGGCCUGUUGCGUCCGCUGUGAAAUCCCGGGGCUCAACCCCGGGCCUGCAGUGGAUACGGGCUGGCUGGAGGCAGGCAGGGGAGAACGGAAUUCCUGGUGUAGCGGUGAAAUGCGCAGAUAUCAGGAGGAACACCGGUGGCGAAGGCGGAUCGCUGGGCCAUUACUGACGCUGAGGAGCGAAAGCGUGGGGAGCGAACAGG
rnacentral:rRNA from 1 species